rnacentral:rRNA from 1 species
UACGUAGGAUGCAAGCGUUGUUCGGAAUUACUGGGCGUAAAGGGCGCGCAGGCGGCUGCUCAAGUCAGGCGUGAAAGGCCUGGGCUCAACCCGGGAAUUGCGCUUGAGACUGGGCUGGCUUGAGUGCGGGAGAGGAUGGUGGAAUUCCCAGUGUAGAGGUGAAAUUCGUAGAUAUUGGGAAGAACACCGGUGGCGAAGGCGGCCAUCUGGACCGCAACUGACGCUGAGGCGCGAAAGCGUGGGGAGCAAACAGG